CGGCGAGAAUAGAGGAAUCCAGCGGCCAAUGGGCGGCGCCUCUGGGGGAGGGCGCAGGGAGACAAGGAAAUUCUGUCAACGCCGUUAAUACGCACGUGGAGGUUUGUUAAAGAUAUAGAGACUGCUGCCGCCCAAGCUGGGGUCGGGGGAUGAGCCGCUGAGACCUUGGGGGUAGUGGUCAGUAUUAAGUGGCCGGCCCCUGGUAGGUGCCUAAAAGCGAGCCCAGUGCAGGAAGUACUUCCUAGAUGGGAGGCUGGUGGCCUGGGAAAGACAAAUGGAAAGUGGAAAUAGGGACUGGACCCUGAGGCAAGAUGAUGAGGGGAUACAGAGAAAGGGGCCAUCUGGGUGAGGGGAAGAAAUCAGGGAUCGAGAGUGGGAGAGGUUGAACUGACUUGUGGUCUCUCCAAGUAGGCGUUGGGUGGUAGUGUAUUUGUGUUGGGUUUUUUUUGGUGGGGGAGGGGGAGGCGCAACUCUGGGGCUUGGGUAGGUGCAGUGGGGUUAGGAAGAGACUGUGGGGUGCAGAGGAAGACAGCUGAAUGGGAAGGACAAGGUGGAAAUUUAGGAUCAAGCUAUUCCCAGACCAGAGCCAUAUUCCUCUUCUAGCUCUGAACCCCCUCUCUCCAGCCUCAUUUCUUUCACCCCAGGCCAGAGCAUGCUGCCCCCUUUGCUCAUGGCUUCCCCUUUCCUGGUGCAGCAGACUAGUCGGUGUUCAGGUAGGUUGGGAAGGUUGCUACUGCCCCACCUCUACUGGGCCUUCUUCGUCUUUGCUGGGUUCACCCCACCUUCACCCCACCUUUUCUGAUUUUAAAGAUUUCAUUUAUUUAUUUAUUUCUAGAAAGAGGGGUAGGGAGAGAGGAAGAGGGAGAGAAACAUCAAUGUGUGGUUGCCUCUCAUGCGCCCCCUACUGGGGACCUGGACAGCAACCCAGGCAUGUGCUCUGACUGGGAAUCAAACCUCUGACCCUUUGGUUCACAGUCCUGCACUCAGUCCACUGAGCGACACCAGCCAGGUCUGAGUUUCUGCUUUUUCACAUUUUGCCCUUCCCAGAUAGUUGGGGUCUGGUAUUCUGGUGAACACUAACUGUAACUGAGGGCAUAGGAGAGUAAGUGGAUGUGCAAAGCCAUUUCCAGAAUGUUGGAUGCAGGGCAGAGACAUGGGAAACCUGCAAGUGCCCAUUCCAGCUUUGACCUGGCUGGGACAGCCAUGGGUCAAGGCCUCUCUGUAGUCCUGGUUUCUACUAUCAUCAAGAAGGCGAGCUGCAAGAGACGUCUAGGCAGGCACCUCAAGAUGUCAGGAAGCCCUGGGUUUAAGCCCUGCCUCCAGCACUCUUAAGAUCCAGAACCUCAGGAGAGGGAGGGGAGGCACCGCUGAGGAUGUGUGCACCUGUGAGGGUAUCAUCACCCAGUUCUCCAUCUGCAAGCUGGCUCUGGAAAUACUCCUCUACUCUGCAAACCAGCAUUUCUAAGUAUUUCUCCCAGGACCACUCAGAGUUUUGUGGCUCCUGUGCUGCAGACCUGGGCAACCAAAACUGAGACCCACGGAUCUCCCUGCCAUUGUAUCCUGAGAUCAACAGAGCUGCAUCCUCAGACUGACCGUGAGAGGGAAACGAGAAGCGUUUCCAGUUGGUGUUUGGAAACGAAAAGUGGUUAAGAAACGGUGCAGGUACGGAACUACAAGACUAUGAUCAAAGACUUGAGAACCUCAUUAAUUUGGAACCUUAUAUUUAAACUGUGUACUCUGGACGUAAAUUGUGCUGAACUUUCCCCCAUUUUAAUUGUGUCAUUUGCUCUUAACAGCAGUUUACAUCCAGUCACUGAGACCUACAUUUAGCAACACUGGUAAGGGGGGGGGGGGUGGCUGCAUAUUCUUGAAAGAAAAGGCAGCAUUUCUCUCAGUUCUAUCAUCCAGGUUGGCUAAAACUCUCCCAGCAGAGUCCCUUGGCUGGUGAAGUUUUACAGUGAUUUACUAUACAAGCAAGAGCAGCUCUCUUUGGCUCCAAGGAAAACAUCCAGUGCCUGACGGGACCGCGCCUGUCUUUCCUUUCCCUGUACUGGAAGCCAGUUUAAUUCUAAGGCCAUGAGUAAAGCAUCCCCUGAGUAUCCAGCUCUUGGUAGACAGACAGAGAAUUUAUCUCCACCUCUGUCCCCUCCAGUUAUAGCCUUCUCUUCCUCUGUCCUUGGCCAACUGCCUGUCCCCUCAUUUCUCACUUGUGUAUACCCCUAGCAGUGGCACUGGGACUCUCACCCUGGCUCUCUGCCUUUACUCACAGGUCACCAGUGACCUCCUCAGUACUAAAGCCAAGAGACCCUCUUCGGUUCUCGACCUCUGACCAUUCCUACCUCCUUGAAAACACCAUGGGCUCUGGCUGGUGUGGCUCAGCGGACUGAGCACCGGCCUGCAAACCGAAAAGUCACCAGUUCAAUUCCCAAUCAGGGCACGUGCCUGGGUCGUGACAGGCACGUGAGAGGCAACCAAACUGUGUUUCUCAUACAUUGAUGUUUCUCUCCCUCUCUUCUUCCCUUCAUUCCCCUCACUCUAAAAAUAAAUAAAAUCUUAAAAAAAAACCCCACAACACCAUGGAUUUUCUUCUGCCUCUGUGGUCUUCUCUCCCCCUCGUGGAUUCCUUUUCCU